UUAGGAGUAGGAGAUCUGCUAGGGGAGAAACAGGGUUAACUCAGGUAAGCUAUGGGGGUGAACCAGGCCUGGAAAUAUCGUUGGUGAGGCAGGUGGUGGGCAAUUAAAAGUAGGCCUUGAUGGGAGGCAGUAAAACUGUCUUCUGCAUCAAAGGCUGCAGUUAGGCUGGACCUAUGGCACCCUGGGAUGCAGGGAGAGAGAGCAAGAACAGCUGGGUUUGGCUGAGAUGUAGGUGGCUGGGCCUGUGGAUAGGACUUGGGGCGGGGGGCAACUAGGAGGUUAGCGGGGUGUAGGCACAGGUUACUGGAACAGAGAGGGGAGAUCUGAGAGACCUAGUCUGAGAUGUAAGCUGAGAUCAGGAGCCAGGGGUCAGAAAACUAGUGCUGAGUUUCAAGGAAAAUGUGAGAUCAGGGUCCGGAAACCAAGCUGAGUCAGGAUGCCAGGAAAAGCAGAGAGAGCAGAGCCAGUUCCCAGUUUCAGGGAAGAUCUUGGAUUAGAGUUGGGAAAAGCUAAAGCAGUCAGGAGAACCAGGGAGAGCUGUGAACACAAGGGUUGCUGGACCACUGUGGCUGCGUGACGGUGCGUGUCUGAGGCUGUAGGUGUGUUUAGAAAGGGCAAGUGGUGCUUUCAGCAAACAAGCUGGCUGCAGAGAACUGGGUUAGCCAUAUUCCUCAAGGAUCGGGGGCUCAUGUGCUUGGCCCAGUCAAGCCUGCUUGAUCAGAGACACUAGGGGCCGCAGCGAGGGUGUCGUCGCAAGACUGCAACGUGUCUGUUAUUGGAAAACAGGGCUGUACAACUGGUGGUCCACAGGCCAUGUGUGGUCUGUGACAGGGUAAGCUGUUGCCCUGGGCUCCUGCCUAGCUGACACUUCCCUCAUCACCCCCCAACAUCGCUUCAGCUUAAGCAGCAGCCAGUAUCCACUCCAGGCUUCCCCUCUGCCUCCAGCAUAUGCUUCCUAUCUCUGCUGCAGGGGCCAGGGCAUUGAAGCACGGGCCUGAGAGCUGAGGGGGAGGUUCGGGGCAUGGCGCAGCAGCUGGGGGAGGGGGCACUGGCAUAAAGUGCAGUGGUACCCAAGUGGGAGCACAGUUUGGAGGGGGUGGGCCCUUCGUGCAACCUGCACAGAGUGUAGCCCUGCUGGUGGGGCUCCCAGCCACUUCCAAGUUGGACAGUCCUUUUGUAAAGGGCAAUGCAUGCAACAGAAGGCAAUACACUAAAAAAACCUGACCCUGAAGGAAACAUUUCAGUUGCUGACUGGCAAGUAUUCAAACUCUCUAUGCUGCAAGGACAUCCCACUUUUCUAUCUCAUGGAACCUAUUGUUUUACCUUACUGCUUUUCAAUGCGUUUCUAAAACUGGCAGGCAAGAGAUGUCCACAAAAGACAUGUAGAAAUCCCAUAUUGACUUGUGUGGAAUGAGUAGCUGCUGGAGCUAGGUGAAAUUUUUCAAACGUUGUGUGAUAUACAAGUUCAGAAGGGGACAGAACCGUAUGAGGAAGGCCAAGCCCAAAGAGGAAGCAUGAAUAUUGAAACCUAAAUCGAAAAUGGAGCCCAAUUUGUCUGUUAGCAGUUUUGCCUGAAAAAUGCCCUGGCAUUUAUCAAUUAUAUGAAAGUCUGAGCAUGACGCACGCACUAAGAACGAAAUGCCACUUUCAACAUAUGAUCUGGCUGGUGCCGUUUCCAUUUUAUUAUUGCAUUACAGUAGAAUUCAGUGUGUUUAUACCUGUAAAUGUAAAUACAUAGUGAGAGCAGUACUGCCAACCCUACAUUGCAAAAUACAGCAAUAAGAAAUGAUUAUUAAAUAAAACUGUUGUUUGGCAGUUGCACCCCCACCUCCACCUUUGAUUCCUGCUCCACCCAAAGUUAAAAGUCAACUGCCUGGCAGUGGCAUUAGCAUGUCUAUUCGGGCAGUGCUGAGUCAUUUGACUUCAUGGCUCAUUAUAAUUUACCUGAUUCCUUCUAAACUUUUUAUUCAACAGGUAUUAAUGGUCCUCUUUUUUUUAAUGGUCUUGAUGUUCCACCAGUUAAGCUUCCUUUGUUUUGCAGUUCUGCUGGCUGUUAGCUGCUCCUGUUAACGUAGCUCCUAUUUCACAGCCCUGCAGACUGUCUUUAACUCAUUGCAAUGAAACUAUAUUUGUUUUUGCUUCAAUCUUAAACUGAAUAAUACAGCCCUGCUCCCCUGAUAUAUUAGCAAAGCUUCUAGUUUCUCUUUAAUUGGAGAAAAUGGGAUGGGAUGAUGCACCUCACCAUUUGCAUCCCCCUCUUUAAAAUUCUAGAUCCACCCAUGAAUGGAUCCAGCAUAUGUUGUGAUACAAGUCAGUUAAAGGUUAGUACCUCAGCCAGUGUCACAGGAAAGUGUUCUCUGGCUUAAAUAG